rnacentral:piRNA from 1 species
CUGAUCUUAUGAUGCUUGUGCUUA